UUUACCAUUUUUUUUCUCCCUCUACUCUCAUAAAAGACUCCUGGAACAAGGAACCAUCUGUCGGAGUUCAGACGGAGUGAACCUGGACAUCGCCGGAAAUAACAAAGCUUGCCAGAGUUCGAAGCUUCUGCCGGAGCAAACAUAGUUUACCGGAGACUCGACAGAGAUCGAGGUACGCCGAAGUGGACGACGGAACUCAAACCCGGUUGUUUUGAUACAAGGACUUCGCCGGGGGAAUCGAAGAAACUCCCCGGAGAAGGACCCGCAACCGUCGGAACUCGCGCCACACGAUUCGGAUAACCGUUUCGUUCUCUUGGAUUUCUCAAUCUUUACUCGUGCGUUAUUUCAAGGAAUCUCCAUACGCAACCAAUGUUUGUUAGACAAGAUGAUACUAAGUGAAGAAACAAGACUUAAGUGGACAUAGAAACACACUUAGAC